CUGCGUUGAAGAUAAUGAAAGGAACAUGUCUGAACAUGCAGGAUCUUCAGGAGAAUCCAUCCUCAACAUACAGGAUUCUGAAGAUUAUCCACCUUGAAGAUCACCAUCAAUUUCUAUAGUUUCAGAGUUAUCUGCCAAGGAUCAUGUUUCAGUCACACCAUGUAUCUCACAUAACCACAGUAUAUCACCUGUAG